rnacentral:tRNA from 1 species
GCGAGGGUGGCGGAAUUGGUAGACGCGCACGGUUCAGGUCCGUGUGUCUUCGGAUGUGAGGGUUCGAGUCCCUCUCCUCGCA